rnacentral:rRNA from 1 species
GUGCUACAAUGGCGUACACAGAGGGAAGCGAGAGGGAGACCUGGAGCGAACCCCAAAAAGGACGUCCCAGUUCGGACUGGAGUCUGCAACCCGACUCCACGAAGUUGGAUUCGCUAGUAAUCGCGCAUCAGCCAUGGCGCGGUGAAUACGUUCCCGGGCCUUGUACACACCGCCCGUCAAGCCAUGGGAGCCGGGGGCGCCUGAAGUCCGGGACCGCGAGGACCGGCCUAGGGCGAAACUGGUAACUGGGGCUAAGUCGUAACAAGGUAUC